rnacentral:tRNA from 1 species
UCCUUGGUGGUCCAGUGGUUUAGACUCUGAGUUUCUAAUUCAAGGGGUGCAGGUUCAAUCCCUGCUCAGAGAA